rnacentral:lncRNA from 1 species
GUAAUGGCUACUCCUCCGGAACCCCAUCUAGGCUCUCCUCUGAUGGUGAAUAACGGCCUAAGCCUUUGAAUGAGACUUCAGGCACACUCUCCAUUGCGCAGAAUACUCAGACAGCAGCAGAAGGAGCCAGAAAUGUGUACUACAUUGCUACUUUAUUUCUAACUACGCAAGACAGAAAAGAAUAUGCAUCUGUUCUCUGUGAGAGACAGAAAACAACAGGAACAAAGAAACAGGAAACCAGUAACUUCAACAUCCGUCUCCCGUCUCCCGUGAGACUUCCAACAAUCUGGAAUGUCAAUAGAGUCUUGUGACUCCAAGAACUGCACAGUGGCAUAACAGAAACCUAACAGUUUUGACUGUUUUGAUCAGUGACUAUGAUGACGGAGUGGAUCUAUAGGUGCUUCUGGGGGUAUGAAACCAUAUUUCCAAUCCAGUGAAUCUUCACUGCAUCAUCAGGUUAAUGUACUGUACAGAACUUCUUGAACAGCAAGGAAGAACCAGAAAACUGGUGCUGCUUGAUAGGUACAUCAGUUAUCAGUAAGAUCUGAGCCACAUUGAAACCAUUUUUCCAACUGGGUGAACCGCGAAGGCAUUGCCAGAUUAAUGUACUCUGCCACAGUUUCCUCUCAGUUGCGUACCAUGGUCUCUUGAGCAGUGAUACAGGAAGGCAAUUUAUAAUUUAAUGCAUAAUGCCUAGGGAGAUUUUUUAAUAUCCAGAGGAGUAUAAGACACACCAAAACACAUUGCCUCUUCAUUUCCUUUCAGGUUGGGAUACAAGGAGCAUCCACCUUGACCUUCUGGGAGCUAUGAAGACCAUAUACUUUUUCUAUAUUGUGUUUGCUCUGCUACUCAUUCCCAAUCUAGGUAAGCAAUUAUUUGAGUCCUAAAUGGGAUUGGAAUGAGUAAUACCACUGUGUGGAGCCAAUGCUUAUCCUCUUCCUCUUUUUUCCCCGUUCCCCCGUUCUACAUUUCCAAUUCCCAUAUACAGUAUCUACUUGCACUUGUGCGCUUGUGAACUGGUGGGUUGACAGGACCUGGGACAUAUCAGUGGGAACUCAUCCCACUGUGGGGAUUCGAACUGCUGAGCUUACAGUCAGCAAGUCCAAGAAGCUCAGUGGUUUAGACCACAUCACCACCCACAUCUUUUCCAACUAAACACCAGGCUCGCUGAAAAGGCAUUGCCAUGGAAGAAAGGUGAACAGCUAAAUGCUCUUUUCACACUGCGUCUGAUUGGACUUACUUGGUGCGAAAAAAGCUUUAAAUUCUCAAUCUUUCUUCUUGGGCAAAGGCCAAUCAUCAUGCAGGUCAAGGACUGGUAGUGAUGCCCUUACAUGGUGUCACAGGAUCAACUGACUUCCUGUGACAUCUCACGACAGCAUCCUCACCUAGUCCCUUACAAUUGAAAUCACGCAGGUUAAAUGCACAUGUCAUGCAAUUUUGAACCAUGGCAGAGGCCUGAGUACACUGGGUACCAGUGGCAGGUUUGUGUGGGGAUUGUGGGUUAAAGUUUAAAGUUGGGUUAAAGCUUCAAGUUGGGUAUACGUACAGCAAGAAGGGGGACACGGGUGGCGCUGUGGGUAAAACCUCAGUGCCUAGGGCUUGCCGAUCACAUGGUCGGCGGUUCAAAUCCCCACGGCGGAGUGAGCUCCCGUCUUUCGGUCCCAGCUCCUGCCCACCUAGCAGUUCGAAAGCACCCCUAAGUGCAAGUAGAUAAAUAGGGACCGCUUUAUAGCGGGAAGGUAAACGGCGUUUCCGUGUGCUGCGCUGGUGCUGGCUUGCCAGAGCAGCUUCGUCAUGCUAGCCACGUGACCCGGAAGUGUCUCUGGACAGUGCUGGCCCCCGGCCUCUUAAGUGAGAUGGGCUCACAACCCUAGAGUCGGACACGACUGGCCCGUACGGGCAGGGGUACCUUUACCUUUACCUUUUUACAGCAAGAAGGGAGGUGGAAGGAGACUGCCAUAUUCCUUUUCUGAUGUGUUCUUCUGUGUUGCAUCCAUCUCUGCUAUUUCUUCUUGUUAAAAUAGGUGUUUGCCUGCUUGCUUGCUUGCUUGCUUGCUUGCUUGUUUUUUUUAAAAAAAACAUGCACCUGAGUUUCUCUGCAUUCUCUUAAAUAUUUUUUGCUGAUAUUAUUAUUUAUUAGAUUUUAUCAUACCCACCAUUCUACUUGAAUUCUCUUGUAAGUGGAUAGGUAGCUAAAGGUCAUUUGCUGCUCUUUUACUACAGGAUUCACUGCUGUUUCAGAUGAAGAAUCAUGCAUGUAUGGCGAUCUGGCAGGGUACUGUGUGUUGAAGGAAUGCCCUCGUGGCUUUACAGUCAUUGGAAAUUGUGGAGAAAAGCAUCGUUGCUGUUUUUACCGUAAGAAUAAAGACCCUAUAACCGGAUCUGAUUUCUGGCCCAGUUUGUAAUUUAGAUUGUGCCAGAUUUUGGACCAACCCAGCC